GCGCGCCAACCGGCCGGCACCUGUCGCAGAAGGUGCAACCGAUCGCACUGUCGCGCAGAAGCUCCUCAAUGGCCAGCGCCAGCUGCAGCCCCGGCCGCCCACUCGCCUCAUCUGAGCCUGGAAGGUAAGCAUGAGCAAAUUACUUUUUAGAGGUAACUUUGCUGAACUUGUGAAGAAUGGUGUGCAAGGUCCAGAGCGACUGCAGGAGAGGGAAGGUGGGAUUCCCACAGAGCAGGAGCACAGAUAAGCCAAGCAAGGCCCUGCUUGGAAGGCAGCAAUCAACAGAGAUGCACAGACCUGUGAGGGUGCCGGGACAGCCAUGCAACAAUGCAGCCCUUUUGCUUCCUGAGCUCACCAGUUCCCUCGCUCCACCUCUGAGAGGUGGUUUGGAGAAACACAGCCCUUCUCAAGAGGGCUGCAAGCUACUUAAGUCCUGAAAAUUUCCACAAGGCUGAGUCAAAUCUGCGUUUCAUCAUCUAUAAGAAAGGUACCUAUCGAGAACACCCUGCUGGCCAGUGUGUAAAUAUCUAAAGGAGGACUCAGAAAACACCGGGGAAGUCCAGCCUGCACGUGGUGGCUGGGCUUCAGUGAAGCAUGCAGCACAACAGGAGUUAGCAGACCACAAAGAGCAUGUCUGGACCUAGAACCACAGCAUGUAACCUCGGAAGCAGUGAGACACCAGCCAGCAUGGACAAGCAGCAGGCACUUGCUCUAUACCAGGUGAGGGUGUGGAGACAUGACGUGGUGCAGGGACACCAGCACCCAGUCCUAGUUCUGGUCCCUCUCAGCCUUGUUAGGUCCUGGUUCCUAAGAUUCCAGGGAACAUCCCCACAGCCUCACAAUAAGAUCCUCCUUUCCUGCAUAUGCUAGCUUGGAUGGGAUCCUCUGUUCUGUAAUCAGUAUGGCAACAGAGCAGAUGAAAUAUUUAAUGGUCUUUCAUGAGCACUAAAUUUUGUUUUUUACAAACUAGGUUAGAUUCUGUCAAAUAAUCGUCUAAUGGUGUAUUCGAGUGUAUAUUAAGGAUCUGAUUCAUUCUAUACCCACUAACCAUAACCAAACAGAUUAAGUUUUCUUUCUCAGAAUCUAAUCCUUCAGUUUCUUGGAAGCUGGACUAGUUUCAGAGCAUCUACAAACAUUUCUGGAAUAUUUAACUUACCCUGAAAUAACAGACGAUAGACAGUAAUUCCCUAAAUUAUUUUCCCCAGUUGUUGCAAAAUAAAGCAAAUGCAGAGUUUCUAGGACUAUAAAAGGAACUCAACUUCCCGGAUCCUAGUAAAGAAACAGGAAACAGCUUGAAGCUCUCUGGUUUGUUUUAUGGCUCAUGAAAAAGCUUUAGCCCAACUUGGCAAAAGAAAGGCAGGGAAAGAGUUCAUAUGGCUCUGCACAAACCCAACCCAAUUACUAAUUUCAUGUUAGCCACUCUUUAUGUGGAAUGAGAGGGCUCACAGAUGCCCUGCCCUCCAAAACACGCCACAGGGAGGACACAUUCCCAUCAGCAUCAGGGGUUCAUGCUAACACAGAGAAAAUGCGUAUGACUGCAGGAGUCCAUGCUUGGUUUAAAUAGCCCUGCUGUUGACUCAGAUAUGUACAGGUAGGCAGGAACCACACACUGUACACAUAUACCACAUGCCACCACACACCAUACAUCCCACAGACCAAUGUGUGCAUAAAUACAUGCACAACCAUACAUACACACCAUACAUACAACACACAUACACCAUACACACAACACACACCAAUGUGUGCACAAAUACACAGCCACAUACCACAUGCAC
rnacentral:lncRNA from 1 species